UAAAACAUAUUCUAAUAUAUUUGCAAUUUUCUGUAAUGUAACCACAAAAAGUUUCUGUCCGUUGUGGCGCAAGACGAAAAUCGAUGGAAAACUGCACCAGGCAUAAAUUCUGCAAAAAAAGAAAUCGAGCCGGAGAAAUGGAUAAAUGGAUAAAUCAGGCAUUCGUGCAGGAGCGAAUGCAGCAUUUCUGUUGUUGACCCCAGAGACCUCCUCAUCUCGUUGGAUGGAGACGUCAUAGCAGGAAACUGUCGCACAUUAACACGCUGGCAAGGACAAAGGCAAUGGCGUCGGCGCCAUUAGUGUUUGACAAGGACAUUUCCCUCACACACAAUCAGACACACAUACAUAGCUACAUAGCUAGCUGAAUGGCAAGCGCAAUAUGAAGAACAGUCCGCCUUCCCAUGCCAACAUUCAUGGUGGUCAAGUUGAAGGAUAUACUGUUGGUGCCAGGAUGGAUGAAUGCUUUUGCGACGCCUGCAAGCAUAAAUCACCCGCCCGGACACGGACACGGAUCUGAAUCCGGAACCCCCUCAACCUUAAACCUCCUCCCUAACCACCAAAAACCCCACUCUCCUUAGCCCCCAUAUAGCCUCAGCUGCGUGGGUCAGUCCAAUAAUUAGUUUUAGCAAUUCAAUUCGUUACUCUGAAUGAAGUUUGCCUUGCGGAUGGCAUCACAUGCUAAUGGCUCUUGUUGACAAUCUUAAGUGCUGCCCAGUGUCCCCAGAGUGCGAUAAUUUAGUGUUUACGACUUCAUUUAAAUGGCACUGUA